rnacentral:lncRNA from 1 species
CCAUAUAUCACCACCACAUCAUCAUCGUCGCUGUUGCCAUAUACCACCACCACAUAUUCACCGCCAAUCCGAAUCCAUAUACGCCACCACAUAUCCGCCGCCAUCACGCCAAUCCGAGUUCACCUGCAACAUAUAUCCGCCACCUGUCCGUGUUCCACCAGAUUCAUCUCCGCCACCUGUCCGAGUUCCACCAGAUUCAUCUCCACCACCAGUUCUAGUCCGAGUCCAGUAAUUGUUGCAUUAUUCUCGAUUUCCAGAUCACGCGACACUCCGAGUCGUGACAGAGAAGGACUCCCCAACUUCCGAGCCAUCCGCAGAAGAAAAAUAGUUCCAAUUUCAAAAAAAAAACUAAGUCUGGAAAAUUCUGGCUAGGCAGUUUUUAGACCAUUUGUACACUUUUUCGAAAAAAAUUGUUGCGGAGCAAAAAAAAAGGAAAAAAAGUGCAAAAAAAAGAGAAAAAAAAAUUCAGAGUGUGCUCCUCCCUUGUUUACGUGCCGCGCCGUGAUUUUGUUGGUGUUCUAGGCUCGCGUCUCUAGCACAGUCUAGCCUAGGACCAGCACAGUACCGUCGUUGAGCAUUUAUUCAACUUUGCAUCUCUGAAUUGAUUAUUGCUGACCCUUUUUGCUACCAUAUUAUAAGCCUUCCCAGCUCCACAUACAUCUACGUCGUGCGUUUGACUCUCCCUGGUAAUCGCUCUAUCCAAGCUUUGAGAGUUUUGACUACAACGGUUGCCGAUCACCGCCUGUUGCUGGGUAAGAACUGGUAAGAAUUUGAGUUUUGCUUGACGGAUUUGUGACACCCACCACCACCACUUGUUCGUAGUCUGUAGGAUCAUAUUCUUGUGUAUUUCUAUUGCUGCUAACCAUGCCAGGAUCACAAGCCGACGAGAUUGACUGGGAGAAUUUAUCGAACAAGGAGCUUCAUGAUAAGUUUCAGCAAAUGAUGACUGAACAGGUGCAAGAUGUGCUGAACAAUUUUGAAGAGGCCAUGGAGAAGAUCACUGGCCUUGAGAAGACGUUCGAAACAAAGCUCGAUAACAAGUUUAAUGAAUUGCUCGCGCGUCUUCCACCACCACCACCCGCUGCACCUAACGCACCUCUCCAACAACAACAACAACGACUACCUCCACGUCGUGAAACAGACCUCCGCCGAGCAAGCCGUGUUCCUCUUGCGUUUGGCCAAACUGUUGGUGCUGCUGUUGAUACUUCUGUGGCUCCUGCUGCUGAUGCGGAGGAGGAUGAUUAUGUGGGAGAUUAUGAGGAUGAGGUUGAUCAAAAUCAGCACUACGUGCAGCCACCUGUACCACCACCAGCAGGUCGACCUCAGGUAUAUAUUCGUAAUGGUAGGCCUGCACCACCACCUCAGGUACGAGAUGAUGUCCAUAUUCCUAAACUGAAAUUGAAUAUUCCACCAUUUGAGGGUAGAUAUGUUCCUGAUAUAUAUCUUACUUGGGAGUUAGAAACUGAACAACGAUUUACAUGUUUACAAUAUCCUGAGGAGAGACGAGUUGCUGCUGCUGUUUGUGCUUUCACUAGUUUUGCAUGUGUAUGGUGGUCUGAACAUUGUAGAUUAUAUCCUAUUCCAACUACUUGGGCUGCUUUGAAAACUGCUAUGCGUAUGCGUUGGGUUCCACCAUAUUAUCAACGUGAAUUGCUUCAAAAAUUGCAGCGUUUAAGACAAGGAAAAAAUUCUGUAGAAGAAUAUUAUCAGGAAUUACAAACUGGCAUGAUUAGAUGUGGUAUUGUUGAGGAGAAUGAAGCUAUGCUUGCACGUUUUCUGGGUGGAUUAAAUAGAGAGAUUCAGACCAUUCUAGACUAUAAGGAGUAUACUAAUAUCACUCGUUUAUUCCAUCUUGCUUGUAAAGCUGAACGUGAAGUGCAGGAUCGACAAGCAUUGGGGCGAACUAACUUUUCUGCAGGCUGAUAGAGGCAAAGGUGUCCCGUCUUUCGAUGAGAUGAUGGAUAUCGCUUUGGUGGAAGUCGACUUUGACGAUCCGACUACGAACGUGCGAGGACGUCGCGCCUUAGCAAUCGCUAAACCAACUCCGAGAGGUUAUUGACCACGCCGGAGCACGAUCAACCUGACCACGAGGGUCUGUUUCCUGCGAGCAAAUGAAGAACAAGCAAGAAACUAAGAUUGCAAUCUGGAUAUUGCGAAUAUAAGAUGAAAGCUUUAUUGAUCAAGGUGGGGUUCUGUGACGCCUUUGUCUGGUCGUUGAACACAAACGAAGUACGCGAAGUUGCAGCUAUGGCGAACUUUUAAUCUAAACAAAACCCAAAGUCUAAACGAUGCCCUAAGGGCUGUAUAUAUGGAGGAAGAGGGGGAGAAUUUCGUGGCCCUUGGUGGAGGGGUCCGAAAUCAACCCUAUCUCUUGUUUUCCCACACAUACGGACUCUAAAAAUAGCCUAUACUUAUGUAUUUCGAAAUUACAUGGGCCUGGCCCAAUAAUAAGGUGACGCAGCACCUAAAAUAGCCUCGGGACGAAAUUUAUGAAGUGGCGUCUUGUAUAUUUCGUCCAAGGCUUCAUGCACCCAUUAUGGUGGCUUCAAAGUCCUGAAAUCAUCACUUGUAACUCCGUUCUUGUUUCCCUUGCGCAUGCCAUCAUCUCCAUGCUUGUUCUUGCUCCAAUGUUCAUCCUUCUCCAAGCUAGGCCCUUCAUUUGUAAGCAAAACAAAUGUAUCCAAUUUAGGCAGCAUCAUAUUCUCAUGAACAUUAGAAUCAUUACCAAGAAACGAAAGUACCUGGUAAUUUAGUUGGCGUGCACGAGCUCUAGUAAUUGGUCCAGUAUGUAUAGCAGCAGGGGCUGUGGGUGUAACAAUUGUAUUGAUGUCCUCAUCAAUACUAUAAGCCUUCCCAGCUCCACAUACAUCUACGUCGUGUGUUUGACUCUCCCUGGUAAUCGCUCUAUCCAAGCUUUGAGAGUUUUUGACUACAACGGUUGCCGAUCACCGCCUGCUGCUGGGUAAGAACUGGUAAGAAUUUGAGAUUUGCUUGACGGAUUUGUGAUACACCACCACCACUUCUUAGUAGUCUGUAGGAUCAUAUUCUUGUGUGUUUCUAUUGCUGCUAACCAUGCCAGGAUCACAAGCCGACGAGAUUGACUGGGAGAAUUUAUCGAACAAGGAGCUUCAUGAUAAGUUUCAGCAAAUGAUGACUGAACAGGUGCAAGAUGUGCUGAACAAUUUUGAAGAGGCCAUGGAGAAGAUCACUGGCCUUGAGAAGACGUUCGAAACAAAGCUCGAUAACAAGUUUAAUGAAUUGCUCGCGCGUCUUCCACCACCACCACCCGCUGCACCUAACGCACCUCUCCAACAACAACAACAACAACGACUACCUCCACGUCGCGAAACAAACCUCCGCCGAGCAAGCCGUGUUCCUCUUGCGUUUGGCCAAACUGUUGGUGCUGCUGUUGAUACUUCUGUGGCUCCUGCUGCUGAUGCGGAGGAGGAUGAUUAUGUGGGAGAUUAUGAGGAUGAGGUUGAUCAAAAUCAGCACUACGUGCAGCCACCUGUACCACCACCAGCAGGUCGACCUCAGGUAUAUAUUCGUAAUGGUAGGCCUGCACCACCACCUCAGGUACGAGAUGAUGUCCAUAUUCCUAAACUGAAAUUGAAUAUUCCACCAUUUGAGGGUAGAUAUGUUCCUGAUAUAUAUCUUACUUGGGAGUUAGAAACUGAACAACGAUUUACAUGUUUACAAUAUCCUGAGGAGAGACGAGUUGCUGCUGCUGUUUGUGCUUUCACUAGUUUUGCAUGUGUAUGGUGGUCUGAACAUUGUAGAUUAUAUCCUAUUCCAACUACUUGGGCUGCUUUGAAAACUGCUAUGCGUACGCGUUGGGUUCCACCAUAUUAUCAACGUGAAUUGCUUCAAAAAUUGCAGCGUUUAAGACAAGGGAAAAAAUUUGUAGAAGAAUAUUAUAAGGAAUUACAAACUGGCAUGAUUAGAUGUGGUAUUGUUGAGGAGAAUGAAGCUAUGCUUGCACGCUUUCUGGGUGGAUUAAAUAGAGAGAUUCAGACCAUUCUAGACUAUAAGGAGUAUACUAAUAUCACUCGUUUAUUCCAUCUUGCUUGUAAAGCUGAACGUGAAGUGCAGGAUCGACAAGCAUUGGGGCGAACUAACUUUUCUGCAGGCCGACCUUCAUCAUGGACACCACGUGCAUCUUCUACUUCAACUGCACCAGCACCUCAGUCACGUGCCUCCUCCAGUCGUGAUACAAGAAAACAGGCACAACCACCAUUAUCUGCCAAGAGCGCACCUGCUAGGCCUUCACAGAGUUCUUCUUCUUCCAUGGCAUCAACAGGGCACACAAGUGAUAUUAUUUGUCGUCGUUGUAAGGGAGGAGGUCAUUAUGCGAGAGAAUGCAAAUCUCCGCGUGUGAUGAUUGCUACCGCGGAUGGUGGAUAUGAGUCCGCUAGUGAAUAUGAUGAGGAGACUUUGGCUCUUAUUACACGUGAAGAACAUGGUGGAGAUGAUUCUGAUCAUGAGACGCAAUACAUGGCUCCUGAAGACGCUGACAGGUAUGAAUGUUUAGUUGCUCAACGUGUUUUGAGUGUGCAGAUCACACAAGCUGAGCAAAAUCAGAGGCACAAUUUGUUCGAUACCAAGGGAGUUGUGAAGGAACGUUCUGUGCGCGUCAUCAUAGACGAAGGGAGCUGCAACAACUUGGCUAGCUUGGAGAUGGUGGAGAAGCUUUCUCUCACCACAAGACCACAUCCACAUCCUUACUACAUCCAAUGGUUCAACAACAGCGGCAAGGUUAAGGUAACACGUACAGUUCGUGUGCAUUUUAGUAUCUCUACAUAUGCUGAUUAUGUUGAUUGUGAUGUGGUACCUAUGCAAGCAUGUUCCUUAUUACUUGGUAGACCAUGGCAAUUUGAUAAAAAUUCUGUACACCAUGGUAGAAACAAUCACUAUACUCUUGUUCAUAAGGAUAAAAAUAUUACUUUGCUACCUAUGACUCCUGAUUCCAUUUUGAAAGAUGAUAUUAAUAGAGCUAAUAAAGCAAAACAAGAGACGAAUAAGAGUGAAAAUCAGAUUGUGGCAAAAGAAUUUGAGCAACAAAUGAAGCCUAAUAAUAAACCAUCUAGUGUUGCUUCUGAAAUUAAAUUGAAAAGUGCAUGUUUAUUUGCCACCAAAUCUAAUAUUGAUGAGCUAGAUUUCAGCAAAUCUGUUUGCUAUGCUUUUGUGUGCAAAGAGGCAUUAUUUUCAUUCGAGGACGUGCCUUCCUCUUUGCCUCCUGCUGUCACUAACAUUUUGCAGGAGUUUACUGACGUCUUUCCACAAGACGUGCCACCGGGAUUACCGCCUAUUCGAGGGAUUGAGCAUCAGAUUGACUUAAUUCCCGGUGCUUCACUGCCAAGCCGUGCACCAUACCGUACCAAUCCAGAGGAGACGAAGAAAAUUAUGCGUCAAGUACAAGAGCUUCUCGACAAAGGUUAUAUACGCGAAUCCCUUAGUCCUUGUGUUGUUCCUAUUAUUCUAGUGCCGAAAAAGGAUGGUACAUCACGUAUGUGUGUUGAUUGUAGAGGCAUUAAUAAUAUUACUAUUCGUUAUCGUCAUCCUAUUCCUAGGCUAGAUGAUAUGCUUGAUGAAUUGAGUGGCUCUACAAUAUUCUCCAAAGUUGAUUUGCGUAGUGGAUACCAUCAAAUCCAUAUGAAAUUGGGAGAUGAAUGGAAAACAUCAUUCAAAACAAAGUUUGGAUUAUAUGAGUGGUUAGUCAUGCCUUUUGGGUUAACUAAUGCACCUAGUACUUUCAUGAGAUUAAUGAACGAAGUUUUACGUGCUUUCAUUGGACGAUUUGUGGUAGUUUACUUUAAUGACAUAUUGAUUUAUAGCAGAUCUUUGGAAGAACAUUUGGAACAUUUACGUGCUGUUUUUAUUGCUCUACGUGAUGCACGUUUGUUUGGUAACCUUGGGAAGUGCACCUUUUGCACCGACCGAGUAUCUUUUCUUGGCUAUGUUGUUACUCCACAGGGAAUUGAAGUUGAUAAAGCCAAGAUUGAAGCUAUUGAGAGUUGGCCGCAACCCAAAACGGUCACACAAGUGAGCAGUUUUCUUGGCCUCGCUGGAUUCUAUAGGCGUUUUGUGAGAGAUUUCAGCACCAUUGCUGCACCUCUCAAUGAGCUUACAAAGAAAGAUGUGCCUUUUCUUUGGGGUACCGCACAGGAAGAAGCCUUCUCGGUAUUGAAAGAUAAGUUGACACAUGCUCCUUUACUCCAACUUCCUGAUUUUAAUAAGACUUUUGAGCUUGAAUGUGAUGCUAGUGGAAUUGGAUUAGGAGGUGUGUUAUUACAAGAUGGCAAACCUGUUGCAUACUUUUCUGAAAAAUUGAGUGGGCCUAGUCUGAAUUAUUCUACUUAUGAUAAAGAAUUAUAUGCUCUUGUUCGGACUUUAGAAACAUGGCAACAUUAUUUACGGCCCAAAGAAUUUGUUAUACAUUCUGAUCAUGAAUCUUUGAAACAUAUUAAAAGUCAAGCUAAACUGAAUCGUAGACAUGCUAAAUGGGUUGAAUUCAUUGAGACUUUUCCUUAUGUCAUUAAACACAAGAAGGGAAAAGAAAAUGUUAUUGCUGAUGCAUUGUCUCGCCGCUAUACUAUGCUUUCACAACUUGACUUCAAAAUAUUUGGUUUGGAGACCAUCAAAGAUCAAUAUGUGCAUGAUGCUGAUUUUAAAGAUGUAAUGCAGAAUUGUAAAGAAGGAAGAAUGUGGAACAAGUUCGUCGUUAACGAUGGAUUUGUGUUUCGUGCUAACAAGCUAUGCAUUCCAGCUAGCUCCGUUCGUCUUUUGUUGUUGCAGGAGGCGCAUGGAGGAGGAUUAAUGGGACACUUUGGCGUGAAGAAGACGGAGGACGUACUUGCUACACAUUUCUUUUGGCCAAAGAUGAGACGGGAUGUUGAGCGUUUUAUUGCUCAAUGCACUACAUGUCAAAAAGCUAAGUCAUGACUCAAUCCUCAUGGUUUAUAUAUGCCUUUGCGUGUACCUAGUGUUCCUUGGGAGGAUAUAUCUAUGGACUUUGUUUUAGGUUUACCUCGAACAAAGAAGGGGAGGGAUAGCAUAUUUGUUGUCGUGGAUAGAUUCUCGAAAAUGGCACACUUUAUACCAUGUCAUAAAAGCGAUGAUGCUAUCAAUGUUGCUGAUUUGUUCUUUCAUGAAAUUAUUCGCUUGCAUGGUGUGCAGAAUACUAUUGUUUCAUAUCGUGAUACUAAAUUUCUUAGCCACUUUUGGAGAUGUUUAUGGGCUAAGUUGGGGACUAAACUGCUUUUUAGUACUACUUGUCACCCCCAAACUGAUGGACAAACUGAAGUAGUCAAUAGAACGUUGUCUACUAUGCUUAGGGCUGUUUUGAAGAAUAAUAAGAAAAUGUGGGAGGAAUGCUUGCCUCAUAUUGAAUUUGCUUAUAAUCGUUCAUUGCAUUCUACUACUAAGAUGUGCCCUUUUGAAGUUGUGUAUGGUUUCCUACCUCGUGCACCUAUUGAUUUGUUGCCUCUUCCAUCUUCGGAGAAGGUUAAUUUUGAUGCUAAACAACGUGCUGAAUUGAUUUUAAAAAUGCAUGAGUUAACUAAGGAAAACAUUGAGCGUAUGAAUGCUAAAUAUAAACUUGCUGGAGAUAAGGGUAGAAAACAUGUUGUGUUUGCACCUGGAGAUCUUGUUUGGUUACAUUUGCGUAAGGAUAGAUUUCCUGAUUUGCGCAAAUCAAAGCUAAUGCCAUGUGCUGAUGGUCCCUUUAAGGUGUUUGAGAAAAUAAAUGAUAAUGCAUAUAAACUUGAGCUGCCAGCAGAUUUUGGGGUUAGUCCCACUUUUAACAUUGCAGAUUUGAAGCCUUAUUUGGGUGAGGAAGAUGAGUUUCCGUCGAGGACGACUUCAUUUCAAGAAGGGGAGGAUGAUGAGGACAUCAAUACCAUUGUUACACCCACAGCCCCUACUGCUACAUAUAUGGGACCAAUUACUAGACCUCACGCACGCCAAUUAAAUUAUCAGGUACUUUCGUUUCUUGGUAAUGAUUCUAAUGUUCAUGAGAAUAUGAUGCUGCCUAAAUUGGAUACAUUUGUUUUGCUUACAAAUGAAGGGCCUAGCUUGGAGAAGGAUGAACAUUGGAGCAAGAACAAGCAUGGAGAUGAUGCCAUGCGCAAGGGGAACAAGAACGGAGUUACAAGUGAUGAUUUUAGGACUUUGAAGCCACCUUAAUGGGUGCAUGAAGACUUGGACGAAAUAUACAAGAUGCCACUUCAUAAAUUUCGUCCCGAGGCUAUUAUAGGUGCUGCGUCACCUUUUUAUUGGGCCAGGCCCAUGUAAUUUCGAAAUACAUAAGUAUAGGCUAUUUUUAGAGUCCGUAUGUGUGGGGAAACAAGAGAUAGGGUUGAUUUCGGACCCCUCCACCAAGGGCCACGAAAUUCCCCCUCUCUUUCUCCAUAUAUACAGCCCUUAGGGCACCGUUUAGACUUUGGGUUUUGUUUAGAUUAAAAGUUCGCCAUAGCUGCAACUUCGCGUACUUCGUUUGUGUUCAACGACCAGACAAAGGCGUUACAGAACCCCACCUUGAUCAAUAAAGCUUUCAUCUUAUAUUCGCAAUAUCCAGAUUGCAAUCUUAGUUUCUUGCUUGUUCUUCGUUUGCUCGCAGGAAACAGACCCUCGUGGUCACGUUGAUCAUGCUCCGGCGUGGUCAAUAACCUCUCGGAGUUGGUUUAGCGAUUGCUAAGGCGCGACGUCCUCACACGUUCGUAGUCGGAUCGUCAAAGUCGACUUCCACCAAAGCGAUAUCCAUCAUCUCAUCGAAAGACGGGACACCUUUGCCUCAAUCAGUGGGGUUCUGUGACGCCUUUGUCUGGUCAUUGAACACAAACAAAGUACGCGAAGUUGUAGCUAUGGCGAACUUUUAAUCUAAACAAAACCCAAAGUCUAAACGGUGCCCUAAGGUUGUAUAUAUGGAGGAAGAGGGGGGGAUUUCGUGGGGUCCGAAACCAACCCUAUCUCUUGUUUCCCCCGCACAUACGGACUCUAAAAAUAGCCUAUACUUAUGUAUUUUGAACUUACAUGGGCCUGGCCCAAUAAAAAGGUGACGCAACACCUAAAAUAGCCUCUGGACGAAAUUUAUGAAGUGGCACCUUGUAUAUUUCGUCCAAGGCUUCAUGCACUCGUUAUGGUGGCUUCAAAGCCCUGAAAUCAUCACUUGUAACUUCGUUCUUUUUCCCCUUGCGCAUGCCAUCAUCUUCAUGCUUGUUCUUGCUCCAAUGUUCAUCCUUCUCCAAGCUAGGCCCUUCAUUUGUAAGCAAAACAAAUGUAUCCAAUUUAGGGAGCAUCAUAUUCUCAUGAACAUUAGAAUCAUUACCAAGAAACGAAGUACCUGGUAAUUUAGUUCGCGUGCUCGAGCUCUAGUAAUUGGUCCAGUAUGUAUAGCAGCAGGGGUUGUGGGUGUAACAAUGGUAUUGAUGUCCUCAUCAGAUUUGUCGUCGCCGCCGCCGGAGUCCGCCGCCGCCGCGCCGCACUUCCGCCGCCCCGCCGCCAGCCCCGCCGCUGAUGCUAGAGCCCACCGACGCCGGAGUACGCCGCCUCCGCCGCCGUCCCGAUCCGCGAGGUAGCCGUCGGUUUUAUUCUAAAAAUCGUUCGGUUUUUAUUCGAAAACCUAGAUGCGUUUUUUAUUAGAUCGGUUUUAUUUUUUCCCGGUUUAGUUAUUUAGCGAACGCCCGUUCAUACAUUCGUUUUUUACGAACGGUUUUCACCCGUUAGCCGCAGAUAGCGAACGUUCGUUCGUUAGCCUGUUCGUCAGUUUUUCUUUUUCCAGGGUUUUUCCACGAUUAUUGUCGAUCGUGAUUCCUGCCCUGAUUUUCGUUUUAGUUUAUCUUUUCGCUCGUUUAUCGGAAUCAGGCGAUUCAAGCGCCUAGUUCUUCAUCUCGAAGCCCUCUUUAUGUUUAAUCAACUUGAACAAGAUUUUGGUACUGUAAAAUUUGACUUUAGUCCAGAUUAGUAAACGAAUCUUGUUUUUUCGCAGUUUGAGUUUCGUUGCUUCGUUUGAUUUGAUUCUUUUUGCAAACCGGAGCUUUUAAGUUGAACUUUCUGGUUAGAUCUCUUAUUUGAGUUUUACCCGUGCUUCUAGUUGAGUGCUUAUUGUAUGCUUGUUUGUUUGCGAUAGAGUACCCGGAGUGCAAAGCAUGUUACUACGAGUCUCGAGGUUUCACGGACCAUUAGCAAGGCAAGUAACACUUUGAUCAUAUCUCUUUACUACCCAGUUUUAUUGCAUUAGAUCAAUCCUCAAACAAUUGCAUGGUUAGGAUGUGAUUAAUAUGUGGGUUUUGGGAAGUAGAUGAUGAGGUAGAACCUAUUGCCCUGUUUAUUAUCAAACCUUUGGGAGUUACUUCUAAGUUAUGCUUAUAUUGCUAUGUUAUGCUCGUAGACGUGAUUUGGUUCGAGUGAUUCAUGACAGAUGUGAGAGUUAUUAUUAAUGGUUAACUUAAGGUGGCAACUUUAAUACACAUCUGGGUGGAUUGCUUGAGGCACCCUGGAGUACCCAGUGGUUGUCAGGGCACCUGGAGAAUCCAGUGUUGUCCAAGGAUAUCCCGGAGUACCCGUGUGAUCAUCCUACGGUCCGCCACCCAGGCUCAAAGGGAUCAUAAGAUUAUUCAUGCUAGAAACUUCUGUGUGCAGCCACAAGCUAUUAUGGGCUCUAGCAUAGUUGAGUAAGUUGCAAGAUCUCUUUCAGUGGUGGGCUAGCAAAUGUAGGGGAAAGUAGGUGUAACUGUCCACCCAGAGUAAAGAGUUAUUGUUUCAGAAAGACUGUGUCUUGAUUCUCCGACCAUGGAUGUAUUAGAGUCUUGUGGGGAAAAGUGCACAAACCUCUGUAGAGUGUUCAAACUAAUCAUGGUUAGCCGUGUCCCCGGUUAUGGACGUUUUGAGUAUCUAGUUCUUGGAUUGUCAUGUUGAUCUCAUCACUCUAAAUAUAAUUUGUCUGGGUUUUAAAUGAUGAUGCUUAAUUGGGAUUGAGUUGGAGGAACCUUCUCAAUGUUUAACAACCACCAUGAUAGUUAAAUAAAUUUAUUCCUUUGUUGUAGGGAAAAAUUGGCUUUAUGCAAAAUUGUAAUCAUAGAGCUUUCCACCAGCCAUAUAUGCAUGUAGUGAUAGCAUUUAUUCUAUUCAUUACUCUAUGUGUUACAUUGCCAGCAUAUUCCAUGUGCUGACCCAUUUCGGGGUGCAACGUUCAUGUUGCAGACUUUUCAGACGACGAGUAAGGUGCCAUAGGUCAUUGUCUUUCACUCAGCUAUGUCGUUGGAGUUGAUGGACUCACUUUAUCUUCCAAGCCUUGCGCUGUUAUCGUAUUUAGAUGGCCUUAAUCCAUAUUAUUGUAAUAAGUUCUCUUUUGAGACUACUCGAUGUAAUAAGUGUGUGAUUGUUGCUCUGUUAUAAAUCCUCAAGUACUGUGCGUGUCAGCAUUACCGAUCCAGGGAUGACACUGAUGCACAGAUAUCAGACUGUUUGAGGUCUGGUUGCUACACAAGUAUAUCCUCUGUCUUCUUCACGCCAAAGUGUCCCAUUAAUCCUCCUCCAUGCGCCUCCUGCAACAACAAAAGACAAACAGAGCUAGCUGGAAUGCAUAGCUUGUUAGCACGAAACACAAAUCCAUCGUUAACGAUGAACUUGUUCCAUGUUCUCCCUUCUUUACAAUUAUGAUAUACAUCUUUAAAAUCAACAUCAUGCACAUAUUGAUCUUUGAUGGUCUCCGAACAAAAUAUCUUGAAGUCAAGUUGUGAAAGCAUAAUAUAGCGACGAGACAAUGCAUCAGCAAUAAUAUUUUCUUUACCCUUCUUGUGUUUGAUGACAUAAGGGAAAGUCUCAAUGAAUUCAACCCAUUUAGCAUGUCUAUGAUUCAGUUUAGCUUGAGUUUUAAUAUGUUUCAAAGAUUCAUGAUCUGAAUGUAUAACAAAUUCUUUGGGCCAUAAAUAAUGUUGCCAUGUUUCUAAAGUCCGAACAAGAGCAUAUAAUUCUUUAUCAUAAGUAGAAUAAUUCAGACUAGGCCCACUCAAUUUUUCGGAAAAGUAUGCAACAGGUUUGCCAUCUUGUAAUAACACACCUCCGAAUCCAAUUCCACUAGCAUCACAUUCAAGCUCAAAUGUCUUAUUAAAAUCAGGAAGUUGGAGUAAAGGAGCAUGUGUCAACUUAUCUUUCAACACCAUGAAGGCUUCUUCAUGUGCGAUACCUCAAACAAAAGGCACAUCCUUCUUUGUAAGCUCAUUGAGAGGUGCGGCAAUGGUGCUAAAAUCUCUCACAAAACGCCUAUAGAAUCCAGCGAGGCCAAGAAAACCCCUCAAUUGUGUGACCUUUUUGGGUUGCGGCCAACUCUCAAUAGCUUCAAUCUUGGCUUUAUCAACUUCAAUUCCCUGUGGAGUAACAACAGAGCCAAGAAAAGACACUCGGUCGGUGCAAAGGGUGCACUUCCCAAGGUUACCAAACAAACAUGCAUCACGUAGAGCAAUAAAAACAGCACGUAAAUGUUCCAAAUGUUCCUCCGAAGAUCUGCUAUAAAUCAAUAUGUCAUCAAAGUAAACUACCACAAAUCUUCCAAUGAAAGCACGUAAAACUUCAUUCAUUAAUCUGAUGAAAGUACUAGGUGCAGUAGUUAACCCAAAAGGCAUGACUAACCACUCAUAUAAUCCAAAGUUAGUUUUAAAUGUUGUUUUCCAUUCAUCUCCCAAUUUCAUACGAAAUUGAUGGUAUCCACUACUCAAAUCAACUUUCGAGAAUAUUGUAGAGCCACUCAAUUCAUCAAGCAUAGCAUCUAGUGUUGUACGGUGGAACUCUAAGUGAAGAUCUUUCACGAAUUGGAGGGGGAAUCCCCAAGAACAAGAUGAACACAAGAGAGAAAAUAAGAGGAACACUCAAGAACAAGUCCAAUCACACAUCCACUAGACCAACAAACACACAAGAUCCACAAGGUACAUGAACAAUCAAAGGGAAACAAGAUACAUGGUAGAGUUCAUCCCAAAUCCUAUGAAGGAGAUGGGGGCUUGAUGAUCUAGGUAGAUCCUUCCCUCAAGGGGGGCUUGAAUCCCUAGGGAUCUUCUCCAAUGGAGGUCUUGUACUCCAAUGGAGUCUUCUCUCUCAAGAGGAAUCCCACAAGGGGAGGUACAUGAGCUAAGCUCUAUGAUUUGUGUCUAUUCUUAGUUGUCCUCUAAAUGACAUAGGUGGGAGGUACUUAUAGUCUAGGGACGAAAUAGAGGGAGAGGGGGAUACAAAGGUCCAAAAUGACCCUCAAAACGCACACACACUCGGAUGGGUCCGGGCACCCGGGGCAAAGGGGUCCGGGCACCUGGACUGGACAAAGGCGCGCGCCAGGUGGGGCCGGGCACACGGGGCUGCAAGGGUCGGGCACCCGGACUGGGCCGAGGGCCAGCUGGAGAGGGGCCGGGCACCCGGGGUGCCAAGCCCGGGCACCCGGGGGGAGGCAGCAACUCUAGUGCAGGGGCCGGGCACCCGGGGCCAGCUGGCCGGGCACCCGGGGGUGGCGGCUGCAGCGCCCAGCAGCAGGGCUGGGAACCCGGGGCCAGCCAGGCCGGGCAGCCGGGGCGUCCAGGGAGGGGGCCGGCCAUCUGCUAGGGGACCGGGCACCCGGGGAUGUCCACGUCCGGGCACCCGAAGUGUCCAAGGGCCUCCGGUCUUCUCGUUCUUCACGCUUCUCUCCUUCUCCUUCUUCUUGUGUGUCCGGGUCUUCGUCCUCGCCUCCACACGGUCAUCUCCUCGAUACCUGAGAGUGCAAUAUAUCUCUGUUUGAGGUAGGACCCAGUUCACAUGUGAAAUCGAAUGGAGUUCGAAGAGGAAAGAAGUGACCUCGGUUUCGACGGUGCAUGUGCGAGCUCUCGACGUAGGUCCUUUCCAUGUUUGUGGAGUGUUGUGACAUCCAUGGUGAUGGUUGAGGGAUGAUCUGCAUCAUCUUUCCCCCUUGGGAGAGAUCCAUCCACGGAUCCUGAUCCUCAUCACCAUGGUAACGAGGUGGCGUCGCCGUGUAGAAGUGGACAACCCCCAAGCACUUGUCAUGUGGAAGCUCGAAAUGGUCACUCUCCAAUGUCGCACCGUCUUGUAAUUCCUUUAAAAGGAGCAAAGAUAACAAGCACGUGGAAAACAAAUGUGGUUGGCAUUAAAGCAAAACCAAGCAUCCAAGAGGUGAUUCACCAAGCAAGUGUCGUCAUCAAGCAUAGCAUAUGGUUUGACAAGGGAGUGUGGCAUAGCAUGUAAGCACAUAAAUUUAUCAUAUGGAGAAGCAUCAUGGAAAUGAUCAUGCAAGGGUGAGGUAAAGGUUCUAAUAUGUGGGACAAGUGAACAAGCAUCUACCUCAAUGUCAUGGCAAGCGUGCAUUAGGGGCUCAACAAACGGUCGAUGGUAUGCAUAAGAAGCAUUCACAACACCAAAUAAGAGAAGAUGUCUAAACACAUGGGGUAAGUGCAAGACAAUCCAAUCAUAAUGUGCACAUGGUGUAGUAAAAAUCGAGUGGCACUCAACACGAUAGCAAGAGCAAUUGUUCAUCAUGUGUGAGGCAAUCAAAUCAAUCAUGUGAUAAGCAAUGGGACAUGGCAUAAGUGAAGUAACGACAUUGUUGCAACCAAGCAUGUUAUAGGACCAAGUAAUCCAAGAAUUGGAUGCAACAUGAGAAAGCAUAGGAAUCAAGUCGUGUGAACUAGUGGAGCGAAGAUGCAACACACUAGAGGAAAUCAUGGCAAUCAUGUCAUGUGUGCAAGUAGUAGGCAUAGGCAAUGCACAUGACAUAUCGCAAGCAUGAACACAAAGCAAGAUCAUAGUAUCAUCAUAGGCAUAGGUCAUAGGUAGAACCUGGCAAUAACAAGCAAUAUCUCCACCAAGCUUGCAAAUACACAUACACAUAGUAGAAUCAAUCAUCAUGUGUAAUGCAAAGCAUGGGUCACAAAUGCAUGGCAAAGGCAUAGUAAUGAGCAUAUCAUGCAAAGUGAACAUGGUAAUAUGGGCAUAAAGUGAGAAGUGGUAAAUAACCCAUAACCAUGCGAGAGCCAUGUAGAAGAAAUGCCUGAAGUCUUUGCGCGAAGAGAGCAGUGGGAAAGACACUCCAAGGGAUCCCAAGCCAUCGUUGCUCUCAAGAGCUCGUUUUGUCAACUCGUGGGAUUGCGAGGUUGACAAGUAUUCGUGGGUACCUACACGAAAGAGACACAAACCAAAGAAAGUGUGUGCGUGGUAAAUGUACACAUCAUCCAUCAUGAUGUGUAUGUGCAUGUGUGAGUUAGCACAAGAUAAGCAUCGCUCAAAGAAAUUUGAGGCAUGGUAGAGAAAUAUGUCAUCCAUCAUGCAAUGAUAGUUAUUGUGUUCAACAUGAUUUGGACGCAAAUUAUAGCAAGUGUGUGACACAACAAUAGCAUUUUCAUUCAUGGGGAGCAUAUGGUGCACACACGUAGUGAGAUCAUGCAAUGGAUAGGAUGAAUCAAAAUCUCCUAAAAUGUAUGAGGAAACUAUGGGGGUGUCCUCAUGAGCAAUAGUGGAAACAUGAUAUGGAGAAAAUGGAGAACAUCCAAAACAAUGCAUAUCCAAAGCUAGGUGGUCAUGGCAUGACAUAUGAGAUAAAUGAUGCAAAGGGAGCAUAUCCAUAUUAUCACAAGAAAAACAAAUGCCAAUAACCAUGGCUUGUCAUCUAUGCCAUAUGUGCAAAUUGGGUUUAUGUUGAUGGUAUAUGCAUAGUCACUACGAUGAGAUUGCAAAUAUGACAUAUUGUUGAUCUCAUGCAUAGCAUAUGACAAGUCAAGUGGAUUAUCAAACAUGAUGUGACCAAAAGAAUUAUCACAAGAAAUCCUAUGUAACAUGGCAUCGCAACUACUAGACUCCGCAUGGCAAUCAUCAAACUCAUCAUAAAUGGGUAAAUCAUCGCAUGGGGAAAUCAUACUAGCAUGAAGCAUGGUAAUAGGUGGAGCAACAUCAUGCAAGCAAUCAAUGUCAAGAACGUCCACUAGUGGGACAAGAGCAUCACCUUCACCUAUGUUACCUUUCUCGUUCCACUCAAGUGGUGUAGCUGAGGUGGGAAAGACCAAGGCAUGGUCAACGUCAUCAUCGUGAUGGAACCAUGUGGGGGUGCAUCAUAGUCCACCAUGGCCAUUGUCUUGUCCAUAGGAAGGACGAAGUCAUCGCGGAUCAGCGCAUAAUCAUAUAUGGGACCUAGCACCAAAUGAGAAGACACCAUAGAGGUAGAGGUUAAGUUGUUAGAAAUCGAAAUGACCUCACUCUCUCUAUGUGGUGGUGGCUCACUCACUCCCUCAAGGUAGGUGCACUCAAUGUCACAUAUGGUGGAGUCACUCAUCUCACUCGAGUGGUGGGGGUUGUGGCUCUCCUCACACGGAAAUUGUGGCAACUCAUCAUAUAUGGGGCUAGUGGUGAAGUCACUCUCUCUCUCUCAAUAUGGUGGCACAAGUCACUCAAGUCAUCAUACGUUGCCGUGGUCGAAGGGAAAAUCCCAUGCUCAGCCAUCUCGUUGUCGUCGCCGUGGAUGAAGGCCGAAGAUGGCACAUCAUCGCUCUCCUCCAUGACCGAAGGGAAAAUCCCAUGCUCGAUCAUCUCGUCACCGUCGCCGUGGAGGAAGGCCGAUGUAGGCGUACUCGUCGGAGGUUGGCGAAGAUGCCAUACGUCCAAAGGCGAAGAUGCCUUGAUGACACUUGGCAAAGAUGCCGAAGUGGUCGUAGUAGUCGUAGCUCCAUCUUGGUGGUGCUUGUCUCGUGGUCUUAUCUUUUGCUCAUGAUGGCUGGUCGUAGCUUGAUGUAGAGCUUGUUGGGACUUGUAGGUGUACGCAUCGCGAGCAGCUUCAUCUUGAUGGUGUUGUAGUGCUUGAGCUCGAUGACUUUCCGAAGAUUGGCCACUUGAGCGUCGCCGCCUUGAAGAUGACAAAGGGGAAGAAGACUUGUAGUUGGCCACCAUGUCUCGUACUUGAUCCCUUUGUUUGGCCAACUUGGUGUCGAGGUAGUCCCUUAUCCUUGCUUCGUUUUGGCGAAUGUCGAUGGCGAGUCGCUCAAUGCCUUGCAUUGCACGUUGUAGUCCGAAGAUGGACGUUUUGGUGAUGUAGUUGUUCGCAUUGUGGUUGUCGUGGAAGACCGAAGAUGAAAUGCCUUGCCUAUCCAUCACAAGACUCGAGUAGAGGUGAGUAGGAAAUGAGAUAAACAAUACCAAGUUACCUUUUCCCAAAGUUGAGGAUGUAUCCCGUUUAACUCAAUGUGAGAUGAAAGAAUAGUGGAAUUGGUACCGGACUUGUUCACUCACACCUAUCAAGUAAAGCUUAUGGUGGAGCUCGGUGAGGAUAGUGGCACAAAAAUUUGAUGCAAAAUGUUAGCAAGAUUCAAUAAUGUUGGAAAAGAUUCACAAAUUCGCAAGUGAAACAAGUAGACCAAUGGCAAUAUGUGGCACACGGAAACACACUCACGCAUAGACAAAUGGGGUCGUGCAACCAAGUAAUGAGCACAAAAUGUGGAAUCCACGGAAAACGCUCGUGUUGCACAACUCAAGAGAGACGCUAGCACGAUUGCUCAAUAGGCGGAUACGACACUUGUGCACAACCUAUAAGAUGCAAAAUGUAUGAGCCUUCGAUCCCAAGUAUGCUCUGUGUAUGAUGUUCCCGGUGUUCUUCUCAAGAUGAUCCAAGAUGAUCGGAUAUGACAAUCUUAUGUGCAAUGUGGUAUGAUGCUGUGGCUCUUGCUCGCAAGCUCUUUGCUCUCUUUUUUGCUUAAAAGCUUAUUCUUUUUUUAUAUGGCCACUUAUACGAAAUGCACAAACCAAGAUAGCAAUUGUGUAUAUGCGAGAACGAUCUUGUGACACAAGGGAUGAUAUGAUGAUACCAAGAUGAUACCAAUAUGAUAUGGUAUGUAUGCAAUGGAAGGUAUGGAUCACUAAUGUGCACAAGUAACGUUACCGGCAAUACUCAAAUGGCUAGUCUCAAUAGGCAAGUGACGCAAAAUGGGCUAAAGGGUUAACAAUGUAAUGGCAAGAAUGUACAAUGAGGGGAUACCACAAUACCAAGGUGAUACGGAGGUUACCGUUCUUGCUUACGGUUAGGUUGUCAAAAUGGUGAAGUGGUCGAUGUCGGUAAUGACAUCGUGGCGAUGAUGAGUGGCAGUGUUCUUGAUGUAGAUACCAAGAUGAUGUAGAUACCAAGAUGAUGUAGACCCGUCCCUAAGUAGCCGAAACACCUUAGGAAACGGUAAAAACCCGCGAACUCAAAAUCUCAAGGAAAAUGUCAAAUGGUGGUAGCGGAAUGUGUUGGUGGUUCCGAAGUUAGCAAUGCGGAAGUGGUGGUGGUGGUUGAUGAUGAAGCAACCGUCCCUAAGUAUCCGAAACACCUUAGGAGACUCAAGUCACCACUCAAGCAACCACAAAUGCUAUAUGGAUCGAAAAUGGGUUAGGUUGCGGAAAGCUAUGGUGGUUUUGCGGAUGAUAUGGUGGAUGGCCUAGGCAAAGAUGCCAAAAUGCCAAAUUUUGAUGGAGUCAAAUGGUUUUGAAACCUAUCUAUAUGGAUGGGGGAUGUCAAUAGCUACUCAAUGAGCUAAAGAACGUCAAAAACGGACUCCGGGAGUGAAAGUUAUGGCCGAAACGGUGAAUGUUGGUGGGCUGAUUCGGGGGGUGCGGGCACCCGGGGGUGAGAGGUGCGGGUGCCCGGGGUGGUCAGCGAGGCAAACAGCCCGGGGGUGCGGGUGCCCGGGGUUUGGGGUGGGGGCACCCGGGGUGGUCAGCGGGGGUGGGCGGGGGGGUCCGGGUGCCCGGGGGUUGAGGUCCGAGUGCCCGGGGGUGUCGGGUUUGGGCGGAAAUUCAUGGAUAAAUGGAAGAAAUUUAUGGAUUUCGUGGAGGGAAAGGUGGAGAUGGAUGGGGGGAAUGCUAGAUCCACUUGAAGCCAAGCAAAUCCAUGGAUCAAAUCCAACAAAAUCUCAUCAAACCAACAAAUCACAAAAAAAAUUGGGGCUAUUUUGGGUGGGGAAUUUUUGAAAUUGGGGAAGAACACAACAAAAUUAAGCAAGAGAACAAGAUGGGGGCCUCCAAUUUCAUGAGAAACCAUGGCUCAUGAUGCCAAGAUGUUGUAGGGUGGAACCCUAAGUGGAGAUCUUUCAUGAAUUGGAGGGGGAAUCCCUAAGAACAAGAUGAACACAAGAGAGAAAACAAGAGGAACACUCAAGAACAAGUCCAAUCACACAUCCACUAGACCAACAAACACACAAGAUCCACAAGGUACAUGAACAAUCGAAGCGAAACAAGAUACAUGGUAGAGUUCAUCCCAAAUCCUAUGAAGGAGAUGAGGGCUUGAUGAUCUAGGUAGAUCCUUCCCUCAAGGGGGGCUUGAAUCCCUAGGGAUCUUCUCCAAUGGAGGUCUUGUACUCCAAUGUAGUCUUGUCUCUCAAGAGGAAUCCCACAAGGGGAGGUACAUGAGCUAAGCUCUAUGAUUUGUGUCUAUUCUUAGCUAUCCUCUAAAUGAGAUAGGUGGGAGGUACUUAUAGUCCAGGGACGAAAUAGAGGGAGAGGGGGAUACAAAGGUCCAAACUGACCCUCAAAACGCACACACACUCGGAUGGGUCCGGGCACCCGGGGCAAAGGGGUCCGGGCACCUGGACUAGACAGAGGCGCGCGCCAGGCGGGGUCGGGCACCCGUUCUGGGCCGAGGGCCGGCUGGAGAGGGGCCGGGCACCCGGGGUGCCAAGCCCGGGCACCCGGGGGGAGGCAGCAGCUCAAGUGCAGGGGCCGGGCACCCGGGGAGGCGGCUGCAGCGCCCAGCAGCAGGGCCGGGCACCCGGGGCCAACCAGGCCGGGCACCCGGGGCGUCCAGGGAGGGGGCCGGUAGGCUGCUAGGGGACCGGGCACCCGGGGAUGUCCACGUCCGGGCACCCGAAGUGUCCAGGGGCCUCCGGUCCUCUCGUUCUUCACACUUCUCUCCUUGUCCUUCUUCUUGUAUGUCCGGGUCUUCAUCCUCGCCUCCACACGGUCAUCUCCUCGGUACCUGAGAAUGAAAUAUAUCUCCGUUUGAGGUAGGACCCGGUUCACAUGUGAAAUCGCAUGGAGUUCGAAGAGGAAAGAAGUGACCUCGGUUUCGAUGGUGCAUGUGCGAGCUCUCGGCGUAGGUCCUUUCCAUGCUUGCGGAGGUGGUGUGACAUCCAUGGUGAUGGUUGAGGGAUGCUCCGCAUCAUCUAGCCUAGGAAUAGGAUGACGAUAACAAAUAGUAAUAUUAUUAAUGCCUCUACAAUCAACGCACAUACGCAGAGUACAAUCCUUUUUCGGCACUAAAAUCAUAGGAACAUCACAAGGACUAACGGAUUCGCGUAUAAAAACUUUGUCGAGCAGCCCCUGUACUUGACGCAUAAUCUCCGUCAUCUCGUCUGGAUUGGUACAGUAUGGUGCACGAUUAGGUAAUGAUGUGCCAGGAAUUAAGUCAAUCUGAUGCUCAAUCCCUCGAAUGGGAGGUAAUCCUAGUGGCACGUCUUGUGGAAAGACAUCAGCGAACUCCUGCAAAAAUGUUAGUGACAGCAGGAGGCAAAGAGGAAGGCACGUCCUCGAAUGAAAAUAAUGCCUCUUUGCACACAAAAGCAUAGCAAACAAAUUUGCUGAAACCUAGCUCAUCAAUAUCAGAUUUGGUGGCAAGUAAACAUGCACUUUUCAAUUUAAUUUCAGAAGCAACACUAGAUGGUUUAUUAUUAGGCUUCAUUUGUUGCUCAAAUUCUUUUGCCACAAUCUGAUUUUCACUCUUAUUUUUCUCCUGUUUUGCUUUACUAGCUCUAUUAAUAUCAUCUUUUAAAAUGGAAUCAGCAGUCAUAGGAAGCAAAGUAAUAUUUUUAUCCUUAUGGACAAGAGUAUACUGAUUGUUUCUACCAUGGUGUACAGAAUUUUUAUCAAAUUGCCAUGGUCUACCAAGUAAUAAGGAACAUGCUUGCAUAGGUACCACAUCACAAUCAACACAAUCAGCAUAUGUAGAGAUACUAAAAUGCACACGAACAGUACGUGUUACUUUCACCUUGCCGUUGUUGCUGAACCAUUGGAUGUAGUAAGGAUGUGGAUGUGGUCUUGUGGUGAGAGAUAGCUUCUCCACCAUCUCCUUGCUAGCCAAGUUGUUGCAUCUCCCUCCAUCUAUGAUGACGCGAACAGAACGUUCCUUCACAACUCCCUUUGUAUGGAACAAAUUAUGCCUCUGAUUUUGCUCAGCUUAUGUAACCUGCACACUCAAAACACAUUGAGCAACUAAACAUUCAUACCUGUCAGCGUCUUCAGGAGCCAUGUAUUGCGUCUCAUGACCAGAAUCAUCUCCACCGUGUUCUUCACUUGUAAUAAGAGCCAAAGUCUCCUCAUCAUAGUCACUAGCGGACUCAUACCCACCAUCCUCAGUAGCAAUCAUCACACGCUGAGAUUUGCAUUCUCGCGCAUAAUGCCCUCUUCCCUUACAACAGCGACAAAUAAUAUCACUUGUGUGCCCUGUUGAUGCCAUGGAAGAAGAGCUCUGUGCAGGCCCGGCAGGUGCGCUCUUGGCGGAUAGUGGUGGUUGUGCCUGCUUUCUUGUAUCACGGCUGGAGGUGGCACCUGAUGGUGGUGCUGGUGCAGUGCAAGUAGAAGAUCCACACGGUGUCCUUGAUGAUGGCCGACCUACAGAAAAGUUAGUUCGCGCCAAUGCUUGUCGAUCCUGCACUUCACGUUUAGCUUUACAAGCGAGAUGGAAUAAACGAGUGAUAUUAGUAUACUCCUUAUACUCUAGAAUGGUAUGAAUCUCUCUAUUUAAUCCACCCAUAAAACGUGCAAGCAUAGCUUCAUUCUCCUCAACAAUACCACAUCUAAUCAUGCCAGUUUGUAAUUCCUGAUAAUAUUCUUCUACAAUUUUUUUCCUUGUCUUAAACGCUGCAAUUUUUGAAGCAAUUCACAAUUAUAAUAUGGUGGGACCCAACGAGUACGCAUAGUAGUUUUCAAAGCAGCCCAAGUAGCUGGAAUAGGAUAUAAUUUGCAACGUUCAGACCACCAAACACAUGCAAAACUAUUGAAAGCAUAAACAGCAGCAGGAACACGUCUCUCCUCAGGAUAUUAUAAACAUGUAAAACGUUGUUUAGUUUCUAACUCCCAAGUAAGAUAUAUAUCAGGAACAUAUCUACCCUCAAAUGGUGGAAUAUUCAAUUUUAGUUUAGGAAAAUUGGCAUGAUCUCGUACCUCAGGUGGUGGUGCAGCCCUACCGUUGCGAUGAUAUGCAUGAGGAUGACCUGGUGGUGGUGGUGCUGGUGGUUGCACAUAGUUCUGAUUUUGAUCAACCUCAUCCUCGUACUGGUCCACCACCUUGGCAGUAGCAACAGGAGCUACAGAAGCAUCAAUAGUAGGUACAGCGGCACUAGAAUUUUUUUCACUUUAUUUUGCACUUUUUUCCACUUUUUUUUGCUCCGCAACAAUUUUUUUUCAAAAAAUUCUACAAAUGGUCUAAAAACUGCCCAGCUAGAAUUUUCCAGACUUGGGCUUUUUUUUGAAACUGGAACUAUUUUUUAUGUAUAAGUAGCAAGAAAGUUCGGGAGUCCUACUCUGUCAUGACUCGGAGUAUGGCUUGAUCUCGAAAACCAAAACAGAGUAACAAAAUACUGGACUCGGACUAGAACUAGUGGCGGAGAUGAAUCUGGUGGAACUCAGACUGAUGGCGGAGAUGCUGGUGGAACUUGGACUGGUGGCGGAUAUAUGUUGCAGGUGGAAUCGGAUUGGCGUGAUGGCGGUGGAUAUGUGGUGGUGUAUAUGGACGCGGAUUGGCGGUGAAUAUGUGGUGGUGGUGUAUGGCAACGGCGAUGAAGUUGGUACGGUGGUGCUAUAUGGCAGCAGCAAUGAUGAUGAUGCAGUGGUGAUAUAUGGCAGCGGCGACGUGACAACCUGUGAACAGAACUCGAAACUCUAAAGGACUAACGCUAAGACCGGCAACUUGACACGAUGAUGCAACCGCAAAUUCAACAAAGCAAAUACAGAAAAGAUUAUGCAAAGGCUCAGAUUGGUUCGGAUAGGAUGAACUAACCCUAAUUUUUUUGGCUUUUUCAUGGACUGUAGGUAUGAAGAAACAGACUCGAUCUAAACUCUGAAAAACUGUAAAAUCUCACCGAGCAACCUGAAAAUCUGAUACCACUUGAUAGAGGCAAAGGUGUCCUGAUGUUUCGAUGAGAUGGUGGCUAUCGUUUUCUGUGGGAGUCGACCUUUAUGAUCCGACUACGAACGUGCGAGAUGCCGCACCUUAGCAAUCGCUAAACCAACUUCUGAGAGGUUAUUGACCAUGCUGGAGCACGAUCAACCUAACCACGAGGGUCUGUUUCCUGUGAGCAAACGAAGAACAAGCAAGAAACUGAGAUUGCAAUCUGGAUAUUGCGAAUAUAAGAGGAAAGCUUUAUUAAUGAAGGUGGGGUUCUGUGACGUCUUGGUCUGGUCGUUCAACACAAACGAAGUAUGCAAAGUUGCAACUAUGGCAAACUUUUAAUCUAAACAAAACCCUAAGUCUAAACGAUGCCCUAAGGGUUGUAUAUAUGGAGGAAGAGGGGGGGAUUUCGUGGCCCUUGAGGGAGGGGUUCGAAACCGACCCUAACUCUUGUUUCCCCACACAUACGGACUCUAAAAAUAGCCUACAAUCAAGUAUUUCGAAAUUACAUGGGCCUGGACCAAUAAUAAGGUGACGCAGCACCUAGAAUAGCCUGUGGACGAAAAUUAUGAAGUAGCAUCUUGUAUAUUUCGUCCAAGGCUUCGUGCACUCAUUAUGGUGGCUUCAACGUCCUGAAAUCAUCACUUGUAACUCCGUUCUUGUUCCCCUUGCGCACGCCAUCAUCCCCAUGCUUGUUCUUGCUCCAAUGUUCAUCCUUCUCCAAGCUAGGCCCUUCAUUUGUAAGCAAAACAAAUGUAUCCAAUUUAGGCAGCAUCAUAUUCUCAUGAACAUUAGAAUCAUUACCAAGAAACGAAAGUACCCGGUAAUUUAAUUGGCCUGCGCGAGCUCUAGUAAUUGGUCCAGUAUGUAUAACAGCAGGGGUUGUGGGUGUAACAAUGGUAUUGAUGUCCUCAUCACUCUUGCCGCCCUAGUUUCCGUCAUACCGGUGUUAUGUUCCUUGAUUUUGCGUUCCUAACAUGGUCAGGGUUUAUGGGCCCCCUUGACAGUUCGCUUUGAAUAAAACUCUUCCAGCAAGGCCCAACUUUGGUUGUACCAUUUGCCUAAUAACAACUAAAACUUGCAUAGGGACUUUCCGGACCCUGAGGAUAAUUAAUCAACAACCCGGGCCAUUGCUCCUCAUGAGUGUUGGUCCAAAACAGAGCACCUUGUGGCGCCCCCUUGGCAACUUGGGUCUCAGCGACUGUAAGCUUCGCUCAUCCGUCGUGGCCUGAGACGAGAUACGCACGGCUACUAUCAGGGUGCCGGCACGUCGGGAGGUCUUGUUGGUUUUGUUUUACCAUUGUCAAAAUGUCUUGUGAACCAGGAUUCCGAGCUUGAUCGGGUUGUUCUGGAAGGAGGUUUUUCGUCCGUGGAUCGUGAGAGUUUGUGAUGGACUAAGUUGGGACUCCGGUUGUAGAGAACUUGACGCCAGAUCCGAAAUAAAAUACAUCAACCAUGUGUUUAACCGUGACUAUCUCUUUUCGAGUGAGUUCGAGAAGAGAACACGGUGGGGUUAUGUUUGACUUGUAGGUAGUUCAGAAUCACUUAUUAAUCAUUACUAGUUUGCGACCAUUGUCGGUGUCAAAACCGGCGGAUCUCGGGUAGGGGGUCCCGAUCUGUGCGUCAAGGCUGAUGGUAACAGGAAGCAAGGGACACAGAUGUUUACCCAGGUUCGGGCCCUCUCGAUGGAGGUAAAACCCUACUUCCUGCAUGAUUAAUAUUGAUGAUAUGGGUAGUACAAGAGUAGAUCUACCACGAGAUCGUAGAGGCUAAACCCUAAGAGCUAGCCUAUGAUGGUAUGAUUGUAAUUGUGAUCGGCCUUCUAAGGACCAACCUCUCCGGUUUAUAUAGACACCGGAGAGGGCUAGGGUUUACAUGGAGUCGGUUACAAGGAAGGAAACACAAUAUCCGGAUCGCCAAGCUUGCCUUCCACGCCAAGGAGAGUCCCAUCCGGACACGGGCCAAAGUCUUGAGUCUUGUAUCUUCACGCUCCAAUAGUCCGUACAAAGUAUAUAGUCCGGCUGUCCGAAUACCCCCUAAUCCAGGACUCCCUCAGUAGCCCCUGAACCAGGCUUCAAUGACGAUGAGUCCGGCACGCAGUAUUGUCUUCGGCAUUGCAAGGCGGGUUCCUUCUUCGAAUACUCCAAAGUAGUUAUCGAACACGUAGACCGUGUCUGGAUCUGCAAGAUGAUCUUCACAUAGCAUAAACCCGAUCCGUUGGCAAUCUUCGGGCGUCGUGCCCUUGCAUCAUGGCCUGGUCCAACAUGAACCGGUGUUUCUUACCCCACCUCGACUCGUGUUACGAGGCGGUUUUAUUGGCACGUCCCGUCGAGGCAGAGAUCGUGUUCCUCUUAUUAUGGGAUUUUCCAUAAAUAUGGGCGUGCGUGCCCCCACAAUGGCCGUUGGUAUAACUCCUUGUGUUUCUACAUAAGCCUCAAACGGUCACACCAAGGACUCUUGAUAUUCACCCCCUUUAUAAAGGGGUCGAGACCUAUGCCUCUUUUCCACCUUCCUCGUGCCUUCUCGCACCUCGAGUUCUAACACUCGAAACCCAAGCUUCAACACCCCAGAUCCUCCAAUAUGUCCGGAUCUGUCCCUCAAGGCCGGUGGGCGGCCUCCUUGAUUCAGGAGGACGACAUUGUGAAGCUUAGGGAGGUCGGAUACCUGACUGCCGACAUCCAGCACAGGCUUCCUGCUCCAGGGCAGGUCAUCCCCACACCGGAGCCUAAUGAGUGCGUCAUUUUUGUCCCACACUUCCUUCACGUCUUGGGCUUUACCCUCGAUCCCUUUGUGAGGGGGCUCAUGUUCUAUUAUGGGUUGGAUUUUCAUGAUCUGGCUCCAGACGCUAUCCUCCAUAUCUCGUCGUUCAUUAUCGUGUGCGAGGCUUUUCUCCACGUCACCCCACACUUCGGCUUAUGGCUUAAGACCUUCGAUGUGACGCCGAAGAUGAUCGAGGGGCGACAUGUGGAGUGCGGAGGUGCUGUAAUAAGCAGGAACGCCGAUGCCCCAUGGCCAGAGUGUUCUUUUCAAGAAGUAUCCGAUGUAUGGCAAUGGAGGUGGUUUUAUGUCAUGGCCCCUAGAGGCACAAAGUGGGUGGCUGCCCCCGAGUUCCGCUCGGGCCCUCCAUCGCAGUUGGCGUCUUGGACAGACGUAGGACGGAAUUGGGGGCUCGCUGGUGAUGUACCAGUACUGCAGAAUCACAUCCGGGAGCUUCUUGGGAGGGACAUUAACCUCGUCAGCAUAAUGCAAGUCAUGUUAAUCCGACGGAUGUUGCCAUGCCAACGUCGGCCUCUCCGGAUGUGGGAGUUCAAUCCGGAGGGUCCGUGGACUAUCAAGCUGAUGAGGACAUCAAUACCAUUGUUACACCCACAGCCCCUGUUGCUAUACAUACUGGACCAAUUACUAGAGCUCGCGCACGCCAACUAAAUUACCAGGUACUUUCGUUUCUUGGUAAUGAUUCUAAUGUUCAUGAGAAUAUGAUGCUGCCUAAAUUGGAUACAUUUGUUUUGCUUACAAAUGAAGGGCCUAGCUUGGAGAAGGAUGAACAUUGGAGCAAGAACAAGCAUGGAGAUGAUGGCAUGCGCAAGGGGAACAAGAACGGAGUUACAAGUUAUGAUUUCAGGACUUUGAAGCCACCAUAAUGGGUGCAUGAAGCCUUGGACGAAAUAUACAAGAUGCCACUUCAUAAAUUUCGUCUAGAGGCUAUUCUAGGUGCUGCAUCACCUUAUUAUUGGGCCAGGCCCAUGUAAUUUCGAAAUACAUAAGUAUAGGCUAUUUUUAGAGUCCGUAUGUGUGGGGAAACAAGAGAUAGGGUUGAUUUCGGACCCCUCCACCAAGGGCCACGAAAUUCCCCCCUCUUCCUCCAUAUAUACAGCCCUUAGGGCACCGUUUAGACUUUGGGUUUUGUUUAGAUUAAAGUUCGCCAUAGCUGCAACUUCGCGUACUUCGUUUGUGUUCAACGACCAGACAAAGGCAUCACAGAACCCCACCUUGAUCAAUAAAGCCUUCAUCUUAUAUUCGCAAUAUCCAGAUUGCAAUCUCAGUUUCUUGCUUGUUCUUCGUUUGCUCGUAGGAAACAGACCCUCGUGGUCAGGUUGAUCGUGCUCCGGCGUGGUCAAUAACCUCUCGGAGUUGGUUUAGCGAUUGCUAAGGUGCGACGUCCUCGCACGUUCAUAGUCGGAUCAUCAAAGUCGACUUCCACCAAAGCGAUAGCCAUCAUCUCAUCGAAAGACGAGACACCUUUGCCUAUAUCAAGUGGUAUCAGAUUUCCAGGUUGCUCGGUGAGAUUUUACAGUUUUUCGUAGUUUAGAUCGAGUUUGUUCUCCAUACCUGUAGUCCACGAAAAAGCCAAAAAAAAUUAGGGUUAGUUCAUCCCAUCCGAACCAAUCUGAGCCUUUGCAUAAUCUUUUAUGUAUUUGCUUUGUUGAAUUUGCGGUUGCAUCGUCGUGUCAAGUUGCUGGUCUUAGCGUCUAGUCUUUUAGAGUUUCGAGUUCUGUUCACAGGUUGUCACGUCGCUGCUGCCAUAUACCACCACCACAUAUUCACCGCCAAUCCGAAUCCAUAUACGCCACCAUAUAUCCGUCGCCAUCACGCCCAUGCGAGUCCACCUGCAACAUAUAUCCGCCACCAGUCCGAGUUCCACCAGAUUCAUCUCCGCCACCAGUCCGAGUUCCACCAGUUUCAUCUUCGCCACCAGUCCUAGUCCGAGUCCAGUAAUUGUUGCAUUGUUCUCGAUUUCCAGAUCACGCGAUACUCCGAGUCGUGACAGCGGAGGACUCCCCAACUUCCGAGCCAUCCGCAGAAGAAAAAUAGUUCCAGUUUCAAAAAAAAAACUAAGUCUGGAAAAUUCUGGCUAGGCAGUUUUUAGACCAUUUGUAGACUUUUUCGAAAAAAAAUUGUUGCGGAGCAAAAAAAAAGGAAAAAAAG